UACGGAGGGUGCGAGCGUUAUCCGGAUUUACUGGGCUUAAAGGGCGUGUAGGCGGAUUAUUAAGUCAGCGGUGAAAUCGCCGAGCUCAACUCGGAAACUGCCAUUGAUACUAUUAGUCUUGAAUAUUGUUGAGGAGGGCGGAACGGGUCAUGUAGCGGUGAAAUGCAUAGAUAUGACCCGGAACACCGAUUGCGAAGGCGGCCCACUAAGCAAUGAUUGACGCUGAGGCACGAAAGCGUGGGGAUCAAACAGG
rnacentral:rRNA from 1 species